AGAGUUUGAUCAUGGCUCAGGACGAACGCUGGCGGCGUGCCUAACACAUGCAAGUCGAACGGAGUUGAGAAAGCUUGCUUUUUCAACUUAGUGGCGGACGGGUGAGUAACGCGUGAGUAACCUGCCUUUCAGAGGGGGAUAACGUUCUGAAAAGAACGCUAAUACCGCAUGAUGUAUUUUAGUCGCAUGACUUUAAUACCAAAGGAGCAAUCCGCUGAAAGAUGGACUCGCGUCCGAUUAGAUAGUUGGUGAGGUAACGGCUCACCAAGUCGACGAUCGGUAGCCGGACUGAGAGGUUGAACGGCCACAUUGGGACUGAGACACGGCCCAGACUCCUACGGGAGGCAGCAGUGAGGGAUAUUGGGCAAUGGGGGAAACCCUGACCCAGCAACGCCGCGUGAGGGAAGACGGUUUUCGGAUUGUAAACCUCUGUCCUCUGUGAAGAUAAUGACGGUAACAGAGGAGGAAGCUCCGGCUAACUACGUGCCAGCAGCCGCGGUAAUACGUAGGGAGCGAGCGUUGUCCGGAUUUACUGGGUGUAAAGGGUGCGUAGACGGCUAAGCAAGUCAGAAGUGAAAUCCAUGGGCUUAACCCAUGAACUGCUUUUGAAACUGUUUAGCUUGAGUGAUGUAGAGGUAGGCGGAAUUCCCGGUGUAGCGGUGGAAUGCGUAGAGAUCGGGAGGAACACCAGUGGCGAAGGCGGCCUACUGGGCAUUAACUGACGUUGAGGCACGAAAGUGUGGGUAGCAAACAGGAUUAGAUACCCUGGUAGUCC
rnacentral:rRNA from 1 species